ensembl:lncRNA
GUAGGAUUCAGCAGGAGCAGAUUGAGAUGCUCCAGAAACAGCUCCUAGCAGCUCAAAAUCAGCUUGAAGAGCAGGCUGUUAAACAUAGGCAGGAGCAGGAGACACUCAACCUGGAAAUCAGUGACCUGAAAUCCCAGCUCUGCCCCAACAAGGCCCUUCAUGAUUUGAAGAGAGAAUCUCCUGAGCGAGAGCUGAAAGAGGCCAAAGAUUGCUCACUUAAAAUCCCACAGCAGCACAAAGAACAAAAUUCCACUGCUGCAAAUGAAAUGCAUAAAUGUGAGCCUCUGAAAGAAAACGAGACUGGAGAACAGGAGAAGAUGGAAAAAGAGGACUCACUGCCAUCCACUGCAAUGUCUCUGCAGGAGCCUCAGAAAGAAAAAGACACCACAGAACAACAGAAGAUCGAAAAAGAAGAGUCAGCUGCAUUUUCUGUACAGGGAUCUUUGCAAAUCUACGAGACAAACAGAAAAUGCUCAAUGUCAAGGUGGCUGAACUCGAGAAUGAAGUUAAGAGCCUGCCAGAGAUUCCGCCAAGUAAGAAGAAGAAGAACAAGAAGAAGCGGAACUGUGUGCGUCCCCAAUUUCACAUAAUUGGUGUCAACAUCAAGUCCUAAAAAUCAUAUUUAUAUACAACUAAAUUGUCAGUGAACAUUUGAACCCCUCUUGGUCGAGACAGAAGGCCACCCCUUCCUGAGCCCGGUUCUGUCAGAGGUUUCUUCCCAUUAAGAGGGAGUUUUUCCUCUCCACUGUCGCAAAGUGCUUGCUCAUAGGGGAUUUGGGGGCUUUUUUUUUUUUUUUUUUUUUUUUUUUUUUUACACCAACCACUGGUAAGUUCACUGACAUCAAAUUUAAGACUCAGCAAAUAUGGAAAUGGAUCAUCCGUCAUCAAGUGAGGAAUCAUCCAUUUAAAACAUGUUUGCUGAGUCAUAUUUAGUUGUAUAUAAAUAUGAUUUCUGUCACACUCAGGCCAAUCACAGACUAAUUUGGACAAUUGGUAAAAAAUAAAUAAAUUGAAAAAAUUGAAAAAAAGUAGUUGUGUCAUUGUUUCGUGUAGAUUUCAAAUAACAUGCCAUUUUAUGUCAACAUAUUUCUGUUACAUUUGUAGUGCUCGUGGUUUUAUAUUCUUAUGAUCCUGUUUGUUUGAUGAGUAUAUCCUUCUUCCUUACUUCACAUAUUUACUGCUGCUUGGCUAGCUUUAGUCAUGCUAGCAUCAGCACGGGUAGAAACAGAUACACAUCAGAGACAUCACAUGUAGCUUGUGUUUAUG